AUCUUGCCUCUCCCGCGGCGAAGCACUGGACCGCCAGCGACUCGUUGUCCCUGGAGCAGAAGGAGGCGACGACCGCCGAGGAGGUGCGGGAGCUGCAGGAGGCUGCCACGGGAUUUGCGGUGCGCAGCACAGCUGAAGAGGACGGUGUGCGACGGCGCUGGACAGGGGCAUUCACCUCCCGCUCUAUGGGGCUAGAUUCGAGUUCAUAGGAAAGGGCAAGAGAGAAGGCAUACUCAAAACAAGAAAAGGGAGGCGGCUAGCUUUGGCCCUUCCGCCGCCGGCGGGCUUUGCUCUGCUUCUCUGGCGUGGGGAAUGCCCUGCUCAACAUCUUCAUUGUGUUUGUACUGCCGUCGUCGACUGGGUUACCUCAGUCCAUGCCUGUGUUGAGCUGUCCCCGUAUCUGUACCCGCGCCGCCGACAUCUACAUCCUCUUCGAGAAGGGAACAAAAUGCACGCUCCUGACCCGUUUGGCCAUCUCCUAUCCCUCCAGACGAAUCGGCCGCCGCUGCCGCAACAACGACACGGGUAAUUAGAUCUGAAUCUUCUCCAGCUAUGGCAGCAAUCUCGUGUGCCUUCAAUUCCUCUCGUGCAAUAAGGUCGUCCGGACUCUUGGGAUAUAUAGGGGAUGAGGCGCCGAUGACUCAUAGGAGGUGCUUUGAGUGCUUCGACCGCUCACUUAGAGACGUGCUUCUUCAUUCUUGUUUUUCAUCUUACUACUGAAAGCUAUUGCCUUCUUUCUGGAAUGUCGUUUCCUUCCGGAUAUGGAUGGCCAUAUUGUGCUGCUUGAUUCUUGCUUACUUUUGGAGGAAUUGCUCACUAGCUCUUUUCUGCUAGCUGCUACCAUGUUUCCAGGCACUUUUUUUUUAUUCUUCUCUGCCCGGCAAUCUUACAUGUACGAAGAUCAUUUGUACAGAUUCUCUGGUCAUGACGGCUGGAGGCUCAUUACUUUUUGAUUUUUUUGUAGACACACCGCUAUUGUUGUUCUGCGGGGAGAGCUUGCUAAGCAGGUUGAUGCGGAUGAACUGAUUUGUAGGAGUAACAUGGAGCCUCUCAUACUGGGCUGCACUUUCAAGCUGCAGGACUGUAUGUUCUACCGGAUUUACUAAUAUCUUUUCUAUUUUGUUUUAAUCAGUUUAGUCUCUACUACUUUAAAGGUAUUGACUUGUGAGUUCAUUGUUUGUAAAAAUGCUCCUUAGUAUGUUUUCGUUAUGUGCACCAUGCUUAAUUUGACCCCAAGAUACGGCUCGAUGAUUUGUAUUAAUCAUGUGGAUCCACAUGUUUCUGCCCUUUUGAAAUAGUGGUUGUUGUGAAUUAGAUUUCUUUAGAUAUUUUCGGCAUGUGUUACUAUGCCUGUCUGUGGUAUUGUUACAUGUUCUGUUUAAUUCUUGAAGGUCAUUGGGCCUGACUACAUGGUUGAACGCCUCGCGCAAAAGGGUCAUCGCCUUGCUGCACUUAAUGUUGAAAAUUCUUCUAUGGACUUUCUUGCAGAGCUCAUUCGAAAAGAGUCCAUGGUUAGGAUGUUCAGGUGUAGGAUGAAAGUGCAGGCCAUUGCAAGCAAUCAGAAUUGGUAGUUUUGGUCAUGUGAUCGAGAGCGCCAUUCCCAGGUGUCGUCAUCUGUUUGAUGAAUUUUUCCUUGUUCGUUGUCUAUGGUUUGCAAUUCUCAUAAUUAUUGUUGUGGUUUUGAGGUACACGCUUUGUGUGAAGGUGGGAGAU